rnacentral:misc_RNA from 1 species
GCCACUGCCAUCUGGGUCUGAACUGGGCUGUCUAACUUACGAGACAUGAAAUGGAAUGAGAAUCUUGUGUUCAAUGCCGCUGGUGACAGAGGCGGCCAAGAAGGAAGAGAGCUUCUUCCCUCUCAAGAAAGGGCCAAACACCAAACUCGGUUGCAAUUGAUAUUCUUUGCAAAUAGUAGAAUUCACUAUCAAUCAUUAAAUUGACAGCCUCAACCUCAAACUCUCCCCACAAUUCAAAACGCAGAAACCAUCACCACAGAAGCAGAGUCUGUGAAAGAGAUUUCAAGCCCAAUGCUACAUUAAGCAAGCCAAUUCUACAACACUGGAUAAUCAGAAGUAUCAAAAUCGCAAGAUCUGAGAGAACUCCACCGUAGAGUCGCGAAUGAAUCAGAGCCGUAACAUCAAACUGAAACCUUCGAAGAAAAUUGAGAAAAAAGAAUCAGCAGAACGACAAGGGGUAUGUUCUAUGAAAUCGUGUUCAGGCGAAUUCGAAGGUUCUAAGGAGGAGGGAAAGCAUGAAUGAAAUCGCCCGAUUUGAAUCAGAAUUCAACCAAAGCCAAUACCACAAAAUGAAAAACCCUCCUCAAAUUCUUGUUUCUUUUGGGCCUCGGUUUUCUUCUGUCCUGCUUGCCUUUCUCUUUCCUGGAACGUUCUUUAACCUGGUGUGGAACCUAGGUUUAAAACUAACCAUAGUU